CACACCCAACACACUGCGCCCUUCACACAUACAAUACGUCCAAACACAUACAUAUAUAUUUGGACGUAUUGUAUGUGUGAAGGGCGCAGUGUGUGCUGUGUGUA
rnacentral:miRNA from 1 species